rnacentral:rRNA from 1 species
AGGAUUAACGCUGGCGGAGUGCCUAACACAUGCAAGUCGAGCGGCAGCGCGAGUAGUUUACUACUUGGCGGCGAGCGGCGGACGGCUGAGUAACGCGUGGGAACGUGCCCCAAAGUGAGGAAUAACUGCCCGAAAGGGUAGCUAAUGCCGCAUAUGAUCUUCGGAUUAAAGGAUUUAUCCGCUUUGGGAGCGGCCCGCGUCAGAUUAGGUAGUUGGUGAGGUAAAGGCUCACCAAAGCCGACGAUCUGUAGCUGGUCUGAGAGGAUGACCAGCCAGACUGGAACUGAGACACGGUCCAGAACUCCUACGGGGAG